rnacentral:rRNA from 1 species
AUACGUAGGGUGCGAGCGUUAAUCGGAAUUACUGGGCGUAAAGGGUGCGCAGGCGGUUUUAUAAGCCAGAUGUGAAAUCCCCGGGCUCAACCUGGGAACUGCAUUUGGGACUGUAAGACUAGAGUACGGCAGAGGGGGGUAGAAUUCCACGUGUAGCAGUGAAAUGCGUAGAUAUGCGGAGGAAUACCGAUGGCGAAGGCAGCCGCCUGGGUCGAUACUGACGCUCAGGCACGAAAGCGUGGGGAGCAAACAGGAUUAGAAACCCCAGUAGUCC